rnacentral:rRNA from 1 species
UACGUAGGGUGCAAGCGUUAAUCGGAAUUACUGGGCGUAAAGCGUGCGCAGGCGGUUUUGUAAGUCUGUCGUGAAAUCCCCGGGCUCAACCUGGGAAUGGCGAUGGAGACUGCAAGGCUAGAGUUUGGCAGAGGGGGGUAGAAUUCCACGUGUAGCAGUGAAAUGCGUAGAUAUGUGGAGGAACACCGAUGGCGGAAGGCAGCCCCCUGGGUCAAAACUGACGCUCAUGCACGAAAGCGUGGGGAGCAAACAGG